AUCACCUGGGGAUCUUGCUGAAAUGCAGAUUCUAAUCCAGUGAGUUUGAGGUGGGACCAGAGAUUGUGCCUUUUUGGCAGGCUCUCAGGUGAUGCCAG
rnacentral:pre_miRNA from 1 species